ACGGGUGAGUAACGCGUAGGAAUCUGCCCUAAAGAGGGGGACAACCCGAGGAAACUCGGGCUAAUACCGCAUAAUCUCGAGAGAGAAAAGCUGGGGCAACCUGGCACUUUAGGAGGAGCCUGCGUCCGAUUAGCUAGUUGGUAGGGUAAAAGCCUACCAAGGCGACGAUCGGUAGCUGGUCUGAGAGGAUGAUCAGCCACACUGGGACUGAGACACGGCCCAGACUCCUACGGGAGGCAGCAGUGGGGAAUAUUGGACAAUGGGGGCAACCCUGAUCCAGCAAUGCCGCGUGUGUGAAGAAGGCCUUCGGGUUGUAAAGCACUUUAGUUGGGGAAGAAGGCAUGUAGUUUAAGAGAUGACAUGUUUGACGGUACCCAAAGAAUAAGCACCGGCUAACUCUGUGCCAGCAGCCGCGGUAAUACAGAGGGUGCAAGCGUUAAUCGGAUUUACUGGGCGUAAAGGGCGCGUAGGCGGUUAUUUAAGUUUGAUGUGAAAGCCCUGGACUUAACCUAGGAACUGCAUUGAAAACUGGGUAACUGGAGUACUGUAGAGGGUAGUGGAAUUUCCGGUGUAGCG
rnacentral:rRNA from 1 species